UUAAAGGUUUCAAAUGAUUCAAAACAAAACAAAGCUUUCUUCAAUUAAAAAAGAAGAAGAAGAAGGUUUGUCAUAUUGCCAACUAAUACAAUUUAUACGCUUUGGUGGUAUUGAAGGUAUCAAAGAUUCAACAAGAAUUAAGAUUUCUCUAAGAUAUCAAAAGAUUCAAAGCUAUGAGGAUGGUUAUGGGUUUAUGGGUUCUAUUUGUUGUUGGGUUUGUUAGCAAAUGUGUAGAUGGGUUUGAGUAUUUCAAUCUGACAGAGCUUCGAUUUGAAUCUUUCUAUGGAGUCUCUGCUUCCAACGGACGACUAGCAGAUUGCAAAUGUGCUUUUGAGGCUAUUUUCAACUUUGGCGAUUCGAAUUCCGACACGGGCGGGUUUUGGGCAGCUUUUCCCGCACAGUCCGGGCCUUAUGGGAUGACCUACUUCAAGAAACCGGCCGGUCGGGCUACUGAUGGGAGGCUCAUGAUUGAUUUCUUAGGUAAAUUUUUAGAUAAUUAAUUUCUUUAUUGAGUUAAUUUCUUUGCAAACUUGCAUUUUCUUUGUUGGAAGAUAGAAAUUGAUGCACAAGUUAUCUCAUUGUGAAAUGUCAAGUGUGAACACACACACACACACAGAUGCCAGGCACACUUUCUUGCAUUUUCUUUUCAGCCAAACAGUGAGCAUAAUGGUUCUCUUAGGAUGAGGAUCCAUUUGGCUGAUAUGAACAUUGGCAUUUUUUGUUUGUGUUGCUGAACUGUGUUCACACAAAUAGUGCAGUUGUCUUGUUCUUCAUUGGAUCUUCUAUUAUCUUUUUAGUGCUCAACUACUUUUCAAAGACACAAUCUCCAGAGUGUUUAAUGAUUUAAUUAUAUACUAAAAAUUAAUUAAUUUUUGUUAAAUCAUUAAACUAAAAAAUUAUUAACCAUGAGUGGAGAGACUUCUGAAAUAUUAA